GGAGGCGCAGCUCAUAUGGAGGAGCACUCGCUUAGCGUGCGAGAGGUACGGGGAUCAAAACCCCGCGCCUCCA